rnacentral:rRNA from 1 species
GUGUCAGCCGCCGCGGUAAUACGGAGGGUGCAAGCGUUAUCCGGAUUUAUUGGGUUUAAAGGGUGCGUAGGCGGUAUUAUAAGUCAGUGGUGAAAUGUUGCAGCUUAACUGUAAAAUUGCCAUUGAAACUGCAGUACUUGAGUUAUCUUGAAGUAGGCGGAAUGUGUAGUGUAGCGGUGAAAUGCUUAGAUAUUACACAGAACACCGAUUGCGAAGGCAGCUUACUAAGGGUAUACUGACGCUGAGGCACGAAAGCGUGGGGAUCGAACAGGAUUAGAAACCCCGGUAGUCC